CCACAAAUAUCCAUCAUCACCACACAAGAAAAAAGCAACAAGAUAAAAACCCAGAAGAGUCUGGAAUUCAGUUUCCAACUCUCGCUGGAAAAUUGGAAAUGGAAUUAGGUGCCAUUAAUCUGUCGUCCCCUUUGUCUCCAUCAGCCCUCAGAAUUCAGGAUUUUUCAUCACCUGUUGGUAGGAAUCAUUUUAAAAAAUCUUUACAUCCUCAGUUGCUGUGCUCUCCACUUCCUAAACCCUUUCUUCAACUUAAUGACAGACCACAUAGCUUUCUCUCCCAACAAAACACUGAUAAUCUCUCUACGAGAACGUAUAGAAGAUACAUAUCAGCAGAAGCUGGAAAGCAAAGUUGGGACUUGACUAGAUUCUUGAAAACAAUAUAUUUCUUCAACGAACCGCCCUCUCCUGCUAAGUUUAUUGAGGCUUUAAUUGAAAAACUAUCCGGCUCAUCACCUAGUAAACCAGAAAGGAAAAUGGAAACUUCUGGCAUUGUCCUAGUGGCUGGAGCAACCGGUGGUGUAGGUCGAAGGGCAGUCAACAUCUUAAGGAAGAAAGGGUUUCCAGUUCGAGUAUUGGUUAGAAAUGAACAAAAAGCACGACAGAUGUUAGGCCCAGAUAUCGACUUGGUUGUUGGAGACAUUACUAAGGAGAGUACACUAGUUCCUGAGUACUUCAAAGGUGUGAGGAGAGUGAUUAAUGCGGUUUCUGUCAUUGUUGGUCCAAAGGAAGGUGACACUCCUGAUAGGCAAAAGUAUAGCCAGGGAAUCAAGUUCUUUGAACCAGAGAUAAAGGGGGAUUCACCCGAAAAGGUGGAGUACAUUGGGAUGAAAAAUUUGAUCAAUGCUGUAAAAGGAAGCGUCGGACUUCAAAAUGGGAAAAUACUUUUUGGAUUCGAAGGUAAUAGUUUUAAGGAAAUGACUUGGGGUGCUUUAGAUGAUGUUGUGAUGGGUGGAGUGAGUGAAAGUACAUUUCAGAUUGACCGAAACGGUGGUGAAAAUGGUGGACCAACUGGACUUUUUAAAGGGGUUGUUUCCACUGCAAACAAUGGUGGUUUUUCUAGUAUCAGAACAAAGAAUCUACCAACAGCUGAGGAUCUCUCUGCAUAUGAUGGCUUGGAGCUACGCCUUAAAGGUGAUGGUCGACGCUAUAAGUUAAUUGUUCGCACAAGCCGUGAUUGGGAUACUGUUGGUUACACAGCAGGUUUUGACACUGUUGGAAACCAGUGGCAGACGGUACGCAUACCAUUUUCUUCUUUGAAACCAAUAUUUCGAGCACGAACUGUAUCAGAUGCACCACCGUUUGACCCGAGCAACGUUGUGUCGUUGCAGCUCAUGUUUAGCAAGUUUGAAUACGAUGGGAAACUAAAUCCUACUUUCGUGGAAGGCCCAUUUCAGCUCCCAUUAUCAAGCAUACGGGCAUAUCUAAAAGAACCUAUAACUCCCAGGUUUGUACAUGUAGGUUCUGCAGGAGUCACCCGACCUGAGAGGCCUGGACUUGACCUAAGUAAACAACCUCCCGCUGUUCGCUUGAACAAGGAAUUGGAUUUUAUCCUUACAUACAAGUUGAAGGGGGAGGAUUUAAUACGGGAAAGUGGAAUACCAUACACAAUUGUGAGGCCUUGUGCAUUAACCGAGGAGCCUGCCGGAGCAGAUCUCAUUUUUGAUCAAGGAGACAAUAUAACGGGUAAGAUUUCAAGAGAGGAGGUUGCUCAAAUUUGCGUUGCUGCUUUAGAAAGCCCGUAUGCAACUGGCAAGACAUUUGAGGUUAAGAGUGUCAUACCAUUUAGCCAGCCAUUUACAGUGGAUCCCGAAAACCCACCUCCUGAGAAGGACUACGAUGUUUACUUUAAAACUUUGAAAGAUGGAAUUACGGGAAAGGAAAUCUUGGAACAAGACCCUGUACCAGUGUAAUGCUGCAUGUAUAGAGCUCUGCUAUCAACAUUAACUCUGUGUAUAUACUCGUAGCAGAUGAAAGGCAGAGGAUUCUGUAGGACCAUCAAAGCAAUCAAAGAUUAUAGGGUUCUUUAGGACCAUCAUAGCAGUGUUAACUUUGAAAUUAUAGCCUUUGAUCAUGAGGUCCAAAUCUCCUUAUAUAUAAAGUCUCUGGACCAUCCUGAACUGAGAGGAACAAGGUGAGGAGAAAAUAUUCAGUAGGACAGUCUGCUAGUCAGGUCACUCUCACUAAGGGUGGGCCUUUGUGCAUUGGAAGUCAUGCUUGAGUAUAGUGGGGGCUUAUUCCAUUGUGUGUGUACCUCAACAUCCAGUUAAUCGGGCAGCUCUAUAUAAGUUUUUUCCAGAAUGAGGCCUCAUGUACGAGAGUAACUUACCAAUAACUAGAAGGCUCAGAUGUCAUAGUGGCAGUAUCUCAAGCCAAUUAAACACUGCUAUGUGAGAAAGUUAAGACACAUUACACUAUUUGAAUAGUUUGUGAUACUGUCACAAAACCGUGGCCUAAUUUAUCGGUAAGAUAUUCUCCUCAUGUAGCUGGCAGGUAUGAAUUGGAGGCUCUUGCCUUUAAAUUUCUCUGUACAAUGUAAGCUUUGAUGAAUGCUCUUGCAUCUAAGUUUCCUGACCU